UGAACAUUUACGACGUACUGCUGGGGAUGCCAUGAAUGCCGUCUAUAUUUCCUCCCUUUAAUUUCCCUUGUUUUAUUCGGCACUUCCAUACGGACUUCUUCUUCCUGCUCUUUCUGCGCCUCUCUCCCACCUUAACACCCUUUAAUCGGCCAUCAACCGUUCAAUCAGCUGUGAGCCCACUAAUAUACUUGCUUGAAUGUUGCCCUAACUAAAUUCCAAAAUCCCAUGCUCUCCCACCAUCCCUCUUAUCUCGCUUUUUUCCCAAAUUCCGUUCGACUUUCCUCAACCCCAGUCGUUGCCGUCCAUCUGUCCAUGUCUCCGCCACUAUGAGUCUGCCUGAGUGCCGCUAGCUCAUGUGACUUGUGAGCCCUUUUUUCUCUCUUUUUUUUCCUGAGGUUUUAGUAUAUUUUAUGGAUUAAUUGGUGAUUUACAGGUUGGUGAUUUGUGAUUUAUGUAUUAUUGUUUGGUGAUUUCCAUACUUAAUAUUGUAAUUUGUGAUUUGGGUUUAUGAUUUGCUAUUAGUGAUAAUUUGUGAAUUUGUGAUUUGAAAUUUUGAUAAUUGGGGUCAUUAAGAUCCUUCUCCCUAUCUCUAAAAAUGGCUACUGUAUAAGAACUACCAAUGUCCCUGUUGCUAUUGCUCUUGUCCUUAUCGACAUUCAAGUUCCUUGAAACUUCACUUUCAACUACAUUGAAACUAAUCACAACAGAAGCAACUUGAGCAAAUGCAUCUUCUGACUUGUAAAAAAUUGGACUACUGAAAAUACGAGCUUGUGUUGUGUCAUACUCCUCCUUUCUUUCUUCCAUAGUUCUAACUGGACUGCACUUAAGCCCCCAUUCCAUUGAUAAUUGUAAUUGUAGUUUUCUUUGUAAAAGCAUGGUAUUGAUGCAAUAAAACAUCAGUAGUUUCAGUUUAAUGAUGGUAGUUGUUUCUCAUUCCAUGUAAUAAAGCAUAAGUGGUUCUUUUUCUUUCCAUGUCUCUUUGUGACCAAAAAAAAAUUACAAAACCAAAUCAACUCUACAGAAAGAGCUAUCAUCUGCAUACAGAUGGAGAUAGGUUAGGCCAUGAGCAACAUCAAUGAAUAUUUCAAGUCUCUAUGGUGUCUGUUUGAAGUUGGCUCCAAACUUUAUCAAGCCAUGUAUACUCACAUAGAUCUCAAUGGAUUAUCCAUAUAGCCACAUCAAAUUUUUUUGGCGCCUAUCAUUUAAAUCUUUACCUUGAGCCCCCGUUUGGCCCCCAUUUUAGGAAAUGAAAAUUGAUGAAAUAGUGUUGUUUUGAAAAAUGAGUGGUUGAAAGAAAAAGAAAAGUUUUCGAUUUACGUGUAAUAUUAUUUUAUGAAAGAUUAUGUAGUUGAAAAUAGGAAAGAGAAAAAUGUAAUGUAAUUUAAUGGGGGCCAAACCGGAGCUUAGUUUCCCCAUUUUAAUACUUUACUCUCACCAUGUCCUUCCCACUCCAUAAAAUAUGAUAUCUAUUCAACCUGGAAUUCAUUUUUGGGCAUUUACAAACACUUACUGUCAGUUGUAUGCAUUUGUUUCGAACUAUGAUGACAUGUUAUGACAAUCAUAUGGCGAGGGUGGACUUACAAGUGUCUGACUAUUUAGUUAGCUCAUGAACGAGGGAAAUAUAUUGAUCGUGUGUAGCAAUGAUAGACGGCCUAUCUAAAUAAGACUACCAUGGUUGUCGGCCCCUUGAACUAUCAUGGAAGAUUUUUGUUUGUGACAUAAGUUAAAACGGAUAUAGUUGGACCAAUCAAUCUCACUGAUCAGCUAAAUCUUAACUACUAUGUUGAUUGCUAGAUGAAAAAGAAAAAAAAUGGAGAAUUGAGAACUACUGUGGUUGAUCUCCGCACCUGACGCCGGGUAGGAUAGUGAUUAUCCUAUUGGCUUGUUGUAGCAGAUGAUUCGCAAGAAAAGAACGACAGAAAACACCCAAAAAAAUCAGAGAAAAUACUCUGAAUUCAACUCAAUAUUAUUAAUAAUGCAGAAUGAUCAAAACUAACCCACAAGCCGGGUUAAAUAGCUGCGAAAUACGAAAUUAUGGGAAAAUUACCAAAAAUGGUAAAAUCCCAAAGUUAUACCAAAAUAAAAUAUUAAGUAAAAGAAGUAAGUUGCCAAAAAUUUGGCUCAAUUCGAGUUUUCUAACAUAUUGAAAAAAGGAAACGAAAUAUUACCAUAAAUAGUAAAAAAUAACUUAAAAUUGAAUUUUGGAAAGGAAAACAGUGAAUUUUGGGCUCGAAUUUGACGUCCACCGAGCAUAGCUCUAUGGCCACGACGUGCGCGCCGAAGAGAGCUUUCCGGAUUGGGGUCAUAAUAGCGAUUCCGAUAACCGUAACCAAAGUUAUGGCCAAAUUACCAAAAACGCGUCAAAUUCCCCCAAUUAAGGAAGUAAUGGUGAUUCACUUUCCAUCUUUGCGCCGAUCCGCCAUCUCAUGGUAUCUCAGCGCCAUCAUCGUGCUAUCUGACAAAUCAGCAUCACUCGACUCGGAUCCUCCUGCAUCAGUCGCCCCGGGUUGGAAAGAACUCGCUCUCGAGUUCACAGUAACUUCAUCGGACUCCAUAAAUCAAGGGUUUAGGUGUUUUACAUUAAAGACGUCAGAGGUCUUCAAAUGGCUCGGGAGGCACAAUCUGUAAGCAUUAUCAUUGAUCUUCUGCAGCACUUCACAAAGUUCAAUCUUCCGCUCCUUUAGCUUAUUGUAUUCCCCAACUGGAAAACGAUCACGAGUUAAUACUACCCAAACAAAAUCACGAACAUCAAAUAACACCUGGCGUCGAUGACUAUCUGCCUGAUCUUUGUACUUAAUAUUACUAUCCUGUAUGGACAGCUUCACCUGCUCAUGGAUACCUCGAAGAUGUUCAUCCAUCUCAUCAGCUUUGUUAUUGAAGCGACCCACACGUGGAAUUGGAGCCAAAUCAAGUACUCUGGAUGGGUUCCGACCAUAGACAAUUUCAAAAGGACUCAGUCCGGUGGUUCUAUUCGUCUACCGAUUAUAAGCAAACUCUGCUUGAGGUAAUGCCAAAUCCCACUGCUUCAGUUUAGUCCCGGCUAAGCUUCUCAAAAGAUUUUCCAAACUCCGAUUCACCACCUCAGUCUGACCAUCUAUUUGGGAAUGGUAUGCGCUGCUAAAAUUCAAUUUCGUUCCAAGUUUCUCCCACAAACUCCUCCAGAAAUGAUUCAUAAACUUAGUGUCACGAUCAGAAGUAAUUGACUGUGGAGCACUAUGUAAACGCACAAUCUCUCUGAAAUAAAGAUGAGCAAUCCGAGUAGCAUCCAUUGUCUUCCGGCAAGCCACAAAAUGGGCCAUCUUUGAAAAUCUGUCAACCACAACAAGAAUGGAAUCCAUCGCCCGCUUUGUACGAGGUAAGCCCAAGAUGGUCUUGUGGGACCGAUCCGGAAUCAAGAUGAUUUAUUUCUACUAGUACUCUUUUUUCAAUAUACCCGUUAUGUCCUACAUUAGGAUGUGAGUAUAAUAAUUUUGAAAGGUUUUAAUAGAAGUAAAUGGUUUAAAUACUUAAAUUGAGGGUUAUGAUAACUUGUCAAAUUCGUUGACGAGCGGACACUCCCCUAGAUAAAUAAUUUUAGCUACUUAUAUGCAAAUAAACUUAUAGUUUCUAGGCCUUAUCUUAAAAGGUGUUAUCCUUGCGAAGUGGAAGAACUAUUUAGGUACGUGAAGUUUUUCCCCUGUAUUUUCAUAAUUUAUGAACGCCUUCGCAAAAUUUUCGAUGUAACUAUAAUAAUAAUUAAGUAUAGUUAAUUUUUUAUCGACCCUAGCAGAUAGGAUUUAGAUAUGCUUCCAAAAACUGGUACGUUUACUUGCAACUACAGAAAUACUAAUGGAUAGAAGUAAAAGUGAAAAUUUUCUGAAAGAAUUAUUUAGGUAUGUCAAGUCUUUCCCUGUAUUUUCAACAUUUAUGAACCCAUUGACAAAAUGCUUUAUGUAACUAUGAUAAUUUUUGUAGUUAUUUUUUGUUGUCCGUAUCAGAUACUAUUUUGAUGAACUUCCUAAAAAAAUUUACUUGCAAUCAUAGAAAUACUAAAAGGUAAGAAGUAAAAAUGGAAAUUUUCUAUGAAAGUGAUAGUUAUCAAAUUCAACCCAGAUAUUGACUUCGCUAAGUUACAGUGACAUUGAAUCACGAGUUCAAUAAGUGGAUCCCUAGUCCAGUUGGGGGUCAAUGUAUAGAUAUGUUACGCAAACUGUUGUCAAAUGACCUUCUCGGACAAUGAUGUUAACUAGGUAACUUUCUCGACAACAUCAACUUAAUGACUAAACGACAAAUCGGUAUCAAAAUGAAAUUGACCCGACCCUAAUUUGUUUGGACCAUUUGAAGUAGCUUAAUUUAAUUAGUGUUACUCAUGACCUGUCUUUACUUAUUUGGACAUCUUAUAGACGAAACCUACUCAAAUGCCACUUAAAUCCUUAACUGGGCUUGAACCAUUGCUGUGACCUAAUUCUAACUAUUUAUUCUAGGGCGCCCCUUUCUUGUUCCAUACAGUUUCAGUCUCUCUCUGCCUCUCUACUCUCUGCAUGAGACCCUUGUAUUUCCCCUCAUGAUCUUUCUGUCCACCGUCAUUUUCACUGCUUUAUGGUCAUUCUUUGUGCAUCCUAAGUGGUAGAAGGGAAGCAACCUUAAGUGAAAAGGCAUUUUGAUGGUUUUGGGUUGAUUUUGAUUAAGGUGUCGAUUUGAGGAGGAACUGAGCCUAGUUCAAGCUUUGGCGGUCAUCAUCUUUCGCUCAACAAGAUAUUUAUAUUAAAAAAAAAAUCAAAAUUGUUUUUGAACUCUUUGAAUCAUUUGUUAUUUUUAAUUAUCUUAAUAGAAUGGAAGUAUGGCUUACAAUUCAAGAUAAUGAUGUUUUUCCUUUUCUUUUAUAAUUCUUUUUAUUUAAGUUCUUAUAGCUUGGAAACAUUAUUAAUUUAUUAUUCUCUUUUUGAUAUUAUAAAGAGAUUUCCUUUUAAUCAGAAAUCACUCCAAUGGAAUAUGUAAAUUACACACAAUCGUGUGUGUUUUAUUUUAUGAUUUUGUACUUAAUAAAUUUCUUAACACCCAUAUUAACUACUACAUGUGCAGGGAAAUUUUACAUGCUGAUUAACAGGUAGUGACAUGGCAGAAUUUCAUUGGUUGUAGGACAAAAGAAAAAGUUAAAUUAACCAAUGAAAUUUACCAUAUCACCACCUGGAAACCACCCUGUAAUAUUUCCAUGUGCUAGUAUUUUUUUAUUUAUUUAUAAUAUCGUUAUUACGUCCGCUUCUCAUGCAAAAAAAAUAUAUGCUAAUUGAGUAAUUGUUUGACAAUUGAAAAUUGACAUCUUUUGUACUUGAUAGUCAAUAUUAAUGCCCCAUUUGGUACAGCUAAAAAGUUAUUAAUUAAUUUGAACUACGCAUUUCAUUGGAUCCACAACUUUUUCAUCACAUAUUCUAUCAACUUUUAUCAAAAUAUGCUAAAAUAUAAUUUUAAUCUCUAUGAAACAAGGGCUAAAUUUUCACCUAAUGUGUUCUAAAAUAAAGUUAUUCACAUAUAGUUCUAUCAGGAUUAUAAUGUAAUGUUUGGUAUUUCAUUUAGUCAUCAUUGCUUAUAUUUUACGUCUUUCAAAUAAAUAUUGCAUUUUGUUAUUUAGGCAUGAGAAUAAGUGCCUUCAAACCUUCACGAAUCACGAUACUAUGAGUUGGGUUCUUGUAUAGAGAAGUGCAUGGAGAUAGUACUUGUAUAUUUGAUCAAUAAUUGUUUUGUCAAAGAUCGGUAAAUGAUUGAUAUUUUGUUCUAAUAAGGUCAUAGAAUCAGCUGCUCGACCAAUUUGAGUAUGAAAUUUGUCUUGACCAUGGUAGGCGGAUCUAGAGAAUAGUGGUACACUUGAAAGUAACUAGGAUAGAACCAAUGUGUAAAAUUUAAUUCUAUAGUGGAAUUGUGCUGAUAAUUGAACUUAAUAUGACCCGCUCAUGGAUUACCUAAAUAUGUAAUGGAAAAGUAUCUACUCUUCUUGAAGCCGAGGGUCAUCGUUGUAUACUACAAAAAAAAAAGGGGGGGGGGGGGGGGGGGCCCCCGCCCCANNNNNNNNNNNNNNNNNNNNNNNNNNNNNNNNNNNNNNNNNNNNNNNNNNNNNNNNNNNNNNNNNNNNNNNNNNNNNNNNNNNNNNNNNNNNNNNNNNNNNNNNNNNNNNNNNNNNNNNNNNNNNNNNNNNNNNNNNNNNNNNNNNNNNNNNNNNNNNNGGGCUCCACCGACCAAAGGCUUAGCGACUAAUAAAACAUGGUUGCUAUAAAACACUUUCCGCGACCAACUAAUGGUGGGUAUAGGUUAUAGUCAAGUAAAAUUGGACUAAUUUUAUUAUGUUCUAUUGUGACCAAAUAAUGGUAGCUGUUUCAGUGAAUUAGGGACCAUAAAUUUGAUUGGUUAGUAAAGGUAGUGCAGAAAAAGAACAAAAAAUUUUCCGCCUAUGAUACACACUCUAGCAACCACUGAAUGGUCUCUGAAUCCCAGUCUUCUGCAACCACUCAUAUCCUGGUUGCUAAAACAUUUGGUGCAAUUUUAUCCCGCUCUUUUUCUUUUGGUCUUUGCAUGUUUUAGCAACCGAAGGUGAUAUCCUGGUCACUAAAACAUUUGUCGCAAUUUUAUCCCCGCUCCUUUUCUUUUGGUCUUUGCAUGUUUUAGCGACCGAAAGCGAUGGUUGCUAAAUAUUACACCAUAACAGCAACCAUGGAAUGGUCCCUGAUACUAGUGUUCUGCAACCACUCAUAGCUUGGUCGCUAAAAUAGUUGGCACAAUUUUAUCCCGCUUUUUUUCAUUGGUUCUGGCAUUUGGUAGCGACUAAUAAUGAUGGUUGCAAAAUAUUGCACCCCUCCAAUGACCAAUGAAUGGUCCCCAAUCCCAGUCGUCCGCAACCACUCCUAUCUUGGUAGCUAAAAUAAUUGGCACAAUUUUAUCCCACUUUUUUCAUUGGUUUUGAAAUGGUCGUUGAGCCCAAAUCACUUCAAGCACUAAUGUUGUAGUCAUUAAAACAUUUGACACAAUUUAAUCUCGCUUUUUUCAUUGGUUUUGAAAUGGUAGCUAAGCCCAGAUCUCUUCAACCACCGAUGUGGCGAUGCUCUAGCCUAUAAGCUAGCAGGCCCACGUAGUGGAACCUUUUUCUAUUCGAAAUAGUUUUAAUAAAUAUUUUGAAUGAUUCCUUGUAAGUUGAAUCUUUGGUACUAGCUGGUCUAAAACAGAUUACGUAUGCAAAAGUUACGCAAAUUUCUUCGAACGUCGACCAUCCAACCGUUCCAUAUAUGCAACUGCCUAUUCCUCCACGCGAACCUCAUUACCAAUACUAAUUGUUGCUUUGUGGUGAAUCUUAUAGGGUUGGUUUUAUAGGUCACAACCCAUUGACCCCUGAUAAGUGUGUUUUUGCACAUUUAUUUAGGUCACAAACAUAACUUAAUUAUGAGUAAAAUGAUUAAAUUGUGACUUAAUUUCGUUACAUUUGUGAAUAGUAGGGAACACCGAUGAACAUGGUGAAAUUCAAGAGAAAAGACGCAAAAAAGGACUAAAAUGAUGCAAAGUAAAAGUUCAGGGACCAAAGUGUAAUUAUCCAAAAGAUGGUCCAAAGGACAAAUCAAGGAAGUGAAUGAGCUAAGUACCAAUUUGAUGAUAUUAUGAGAUGAUGGGAAUAAAAAAAACAAGCAAAAAGGACCAAAAUGAAUCAAACUGUAAAUUCGGGGACCAAGUUGAAAAUAAUCCAUAGAUGAGACGGGAAAUGAAAUGAAGAUUCAAGAGUGUUAGAGGCCAAUCGAAUGAGGAAAGGAGUCAAGAGGUGAAAUAUGAUCGAAAUAUUAUCAAAUAUCAACUUUCAGGCGAAAAAGCUAUGCUCGUGAUUUUUAGUCUCUACUUGAGAUCCAUUUUUGGCAUAGUAAAUAUCAGAAUUUGAGGAAGCCUAUUUCUAUCAAAAGUGUAGAUCUUUGAGUUUUCUUCCCAAUUCAUUUUGAAUCACUUCAAUCGAAGAUCAUAAGAAAACGUUAUGACCAAAAUAUUAAAAGCUGUCUGGCGAAAAGAAUCGCAUAAUUAUGCUGUCGCAUAGAAGCCUCCCGAGAAUUUUUUCUCAAAUUUUUUUACUCUAUGUGACAACAUAGAAAUGUACUAUGCGGUCGCAUAGAACAAUUUCGGGCCGAUUCUGUAGUUUCUUUAUACGACUGAAACUCUUUUGGUAACCUAAUUUUCACGCGAUAUAAAUACCAAAAGACGUCCAGAAAGAGGAGAAGGUAUUGAAGGGGGGAAUUUACACAAUUUUGGAGGAUUUGGAGAGGAAGAACAAGGCAAAAACAAGGCCAUCCGCUUCAAGAUUCAAGAUUUCACUUCAAGAAUUAAUUGGGUGAUGUUCUUCCUUGAUUUUAAUUAUUGUUUUUCUUUAUUUCCCAUUAUGUUAGGCUAGAUUUUCAUGUGUGCUAGGAUUUGCGAUGAACAUUAUAUUAUGAACCCUUAAUCUUGAAUUUUAUUAAUUUGACGUUAAAACAUGUUUUUAAUUAUUGAAUGAUUGGGAUGGAUUUUAUUUUCUCUACAAUUAUGUGCGCAAUAGUUGUAUGAGCUUUGUGGCUUGUUUUAGCCUCGAGAGAUGGAAAAUAAGUUAGACAUUAUGUUACUUGUCGUAAAGUUCGAUUGGGGAUAGAAAUAUACCGCUAUGCUUUACGUGAUCUUUAAGUAUUCAUAAAUUUUUAAUGCAUUUUUAUAUGUUCGCAUCUAUCAUAGAAAUAUAGUCGGAUCGCAUGUGAAAAAAUGUUUAAUUCUAUUCGAGAGAGAUUGUUAAACAAAUUAGGAAUAUUGAUCUUCAUAAUUGAAUCGUGUUAUCAAUUUUAUAAAAUUCGGAUUAAAGGGGAUUGAUAUAAGGGGAUUUGGGAUCCUAGUACGCAUUUCGUUAUCACAUUUUUAUAAAACUUGCAUUUAGUUAUAAUCACGCAUUUAAUCUAGUUAAUUUAGGCUUCAUAUUUAUAAGUAUGUUAUUAAAUCAUAAUUUAGUUGUGAAAAUAUCAAGAAUUUCUAUUAUUUCAGUUAAGGCGACGAUAGGUAAAAUUGAACUAAUCAAUCUCUGUGGGACGAUAGUCGGACUCAUUUAAUCCACUUUACUGCUUGUUAACGAACCUUAUACUUACGGUGGGUUUUGAAUCGAAACAAAUAAUUUCGUGAACAAGUUUUUGGCGCUGUUGCCGAGAAUUGAGUUUAGUUUAAUUUUAUUUAUCGAGGCGCUAAUUCGAACUUCAAUUUUAAUUUUUCUAGUAUAAUUUUGUUUUUAUUUCUAUUUUAGGUUAUUAUCCUUUAUUUGUGUUUUAGUUAUUUAAUUUGUUUGAAUCUCAGUGCUCGUACUGGUUUUGUUUCUCAGAUUUGCAUGCCACGAUCGACUAGAGGAGAAUUGAUUCCAGCUGAUCCU
rnacentral:lncRNA from 1 species